UACGAAGGGGGCUAGCGUUGCUCGGAAUCACUGGGCGUAAAGGGCGCGUAGGCGGCCAUUCAAGUCGGAGGUGAAAGCCCAGGGCUCAACCCUGGAAUUGCCUUCGAUACUGUUUGGCUAGAGACCGGAAGAGGUAAGUGGAACUGCGAGUGUAGAGGUGAAAUUCGUAGAUAUUCGCAAGAACACCAGUGGCGAAGGCGGCUUACUGGUCCGGUUCUGACGCUGAGGCGCGAAAGCUAGGGUAGCAAACGGG
rnacentral:rRNA from 1 species